UUAGUUACCAGCACGUUAUGGUGGGCACUCUAAGGAGACUGCCGGUGACAAACCGGAGGAAGGUGGGGAUGACGUCAAGUCAUCAUGGCCCUUACGGCCAGGGCUACACACGUGCUACAAUGGUCGGUACAGAGGGUUGCCAAGCCGCGAGGUGGAGCUAAUCCCAUAAAACCGAUCGUAGUCCGGAUCGCAGUCUGCAACUCGACUGCGUGAAGUCGGAAUCGCUAGUAAUUGUGAAUCAGAAUGUCACGGUGAAUACGUUCCCGGGCCUUGUACACACCGCCCGUCACACCAUGGGAGUGGGUUGCUCCAGAAGUAGCUAGUCUAACCGCAAGGGGGACGGUUACCACGGAGUGAUUCAUGACUGGGGUGAAGUCG
rnacentral:rRNA from 1 species